rnacentral:rRNA from 1 species
CACGUAGGGGGCGAGCGUUGUCCGGAUUUAUUGGGCGUAAAGAGCUCGUAGGCGGCUCGGUAAGUCGGGUGUGAAAACUCUAGGCUCAACCUAGAGACGCCACCUGAUACUGCUGUGGCUAGAGUCCGGUAGGGGAGCAUGGAAUUCCUGGUGUAGCGGUGAAAUGCGCAGAUAUCAGGAGGAACACCAGUGGCGAAGGCGGUGCUCUGGGCCGGAACUGACGCUGAGGAGCGAAAGCGUGGGGAGCGAACAGG